rnacentral:rRNA from 1 species
GAUCCUGGCUCAGGAUGAACGCUAGCGGCAGGCUUAACACAUGCAAGUCGAGGGGCAGCGCGGGGCGGCAACGUCCUGGCGGCGACCGGCGGAAGGGUGCGUAACGCGUGAGCGACAUGCCCGUUGCCCGGGGGACAACCGGUGGAAACGCCGACUAAUCCCCGAUGGGACGGAGGGCCCUCCAUGGGUCUCUGUUGAAAGUUACGGCGGCGACGGAUUGGCUCGCGUCCGAUUAGCUAGUUGGCGGGGUAACGGGCCCCGACCAACGG